rnacentral:rRNA from 1 species
AAAUUGAAGAGUUUGAUCAUGGCUCAGAUUGAACGCUGGCGGCAGGCCUAACACAUGCAAGUCGAACGGUAACAGGAAGCAGCUUGCUGCUUCGCUGACGAGUGGCGGACGGGUGAGUAAUGUCUGGGAAACUGCCUGAUGGAGGGGGAUAACUACUGGAAACGGUAGCUAAUACCGCAUAACGUCGCAAGACCAAAGAGGGGGACCUUCGGGCCUCUUGCCAUCGGAUGUGCCCAGAUGGGAUUAGCUUGUUGGUGGGGUAACGGCUCACCAAGGCGACGAUCCCUAGCUGGUCUGAGAGGAUGACCAGCCACACUGGAACUGAGACACGGUCCAGACUCCUACGGGAGGCAGCAGUGGGGAAUAUUGCACAAUGGGCGCAAGCCUGAUGCAGCCAUGCCGCGUGUAUGAAGAAGGCCUUCGGGUUGUAAAGUACUUUCAGCGGGGAGGAAGGGAGUAAAGUUAAUACCUUUGCUCAUUGACGUUACCCGCAGAAGAAGC